CGAGCCCUGAACCGCAUGCAUCCUGGGGUUCCCGCCGCGUGCUACCCGGAGCCGUCCUACCGCCCCGGUCGGCCUGGAGCCGGGGCCCCUCCACCGCCUCGGCCAUCCUCGCUCUCCCUGCCGCUUCUGUGACGGACACGGAUCUCACGUGUUUUCCUGGAUGACGGACUUCAGGAGCCUUCCCGGGAACUGCAGAGUCACAUGCAGUUAGUAUGUAAAUCCUGACGGGAAUCCAAGGUGGCGGCGCCUGGAGGACGUGGUGUCUGACCAGUGGGACAGCAGUGUCUGCACAGCGACCAACAGACCGAACGCUGGGCCCUAAAACACCAGCGAUUGUGUUUCCCAGGUGAGAGGAAACCCCACGGUGUGGGAAGCAGUAGGGACCGACAUCAGGUCACCCAGAUAAUCUCUGGAAAAGGUCUUGGGCUCUGGCAGGCGCUCAGCCAACUGCCCAGAGGUCUUCCUGCACGCCUGACUCACUGCCCCAGACAGAACGAGGGCCUGGGGCACCAGAGACUGGGUUUUCUUGUCAGGAGGAAACCCCACCAGGAGGAAAACCCACCACGAAAAAAACAUUGGGGUCAGACCUCAGGGCACUCAGCCGACCCCCCCCCCCCCCCACAGAGUGCUGUGCUCACCUGCCACUGAUUACUGCUUGAGUCCUGGGGCACAGAGCUCCUGCCUUAGACUUACAGAAGCCUGGGAUCCACGAGAUCAACCCCAGACACUGCUCCAAGGAGCAACCUGUCUCCCAAGCCACACUGACCAAAACGCUGGGCUCCCUGGUUCUUCAAGAGGCCUGCACCCAGCAAACACACUCACUGUAAGAGCAGCAGCUCACUAAUUUCAGAGCAAGAAACCCAGUGGCAGGGCCGCUAUCUUCAGGACUCCUGGUGAGAGGAGAGCCCCGCUGACUACCAGCGACCACAGUUAGCACGCAGGUCCAUACGCCUGAGGAGAGCUGUGGCAAUUCCUGAGAAGCACCGGCCAUUCGGUGACCCUACCCAAGAAACUGAGGAGGCCUCCUUCAGGAACAACCAUCUUCCUGCCAAGGGGAUUCUCCCCACUCCAGGAUUCCAGCAGGCACCAGAAACUAACAGCCAACACCUGAGACAGCCAGAUGGGUAGAGGCCAGCGUAAAAGCACAACCAACAAAAGCCAAAGCAAUAUGGCAUCUCCAGAACCCAGUUAUCCAGGGGCAAGUAGCCCUGGACCCCCUAACAUAAGUGAAACUCAAAAUGACCUUAUAUCUGUGCUUAUGAAGAGGAUAAUGGAGGAAACAAAUAAAAUAUGUAAAGAAAUACAGGAAGAUGCGGCUAAACAGAUUACAGCCAUCUGUAAAGAAGUACAGGAAGAUGCAGCCAAACAGUUUGUGGCAUUUAGAGAGGAAGUAAUUAAAUCACUGAAAGAAAUAAAAGAAACAGAGGAAUGUUCAAACAAACAGGUGAAGGAAUUGAAGGAAAAACAGGAAAAUCUAGUCAGUCAGGUGAAGGAAAUCAACAAAAUGGUUCAAGAUCUGAAGAUAGAAUUGGAAAAAUAAAUAAACCAAAAGUCCUUUAGUACAUUGUAGGGCCCAUAACCAACAAGACAAGGAUAUUUGCACAGGACAAUGGCACCAACUGCAAGACAAACUCAGCGGCUUCCUGGUUGAGUUGACUGCUCAAUUUACCCAUUGAGUGGGUACAACAAAAACAUCUUUAGCCAGUGAUGGUGGCACAUGCCUUUAAUCCCAGUACUCAGGAGUUUGAGGCCAUCAUGGUCUACACAGUGAGUCCCAGGACGGCUAGGGCUUCCCAGAGAAACCCUGUCUCAAAAAGAAAAGCAUCUUUUGAGACUGUGCUACUGACCAAUGGAAGAUUAUCAAACUUGCCAAUCCUGGUGGUACAGGCCUGUAACCCAAGCAGGAGAUCAGCUUGAUGAAAUUGGUUGUCUACUUCCACCAUGUGGAUUCUGGGGGGGGGGAACUUUUUGGGGUAGGCAGUCUUGGCAGCAAACUCCGUGAUCCACAGAGAUACUUUUGCAAGGCUUGUGUUUGUUUAAUGACUAUUCUAACAAGAUUGUGAGAUAAUAGCUCCCCAUAAGUUGAUUGGCAGUUUCUUUUUAUUUUUAAUAAUGUGUGUGUGUGCCCCUAUGUGCACAUGUGCCAUUGUGCACAUGUAGAGGUCAAAAAACAAGUUUCUAGAGCCUGUUCUCUUCUUCCAUCUUUAGAUAGGUUCCAGGGAUUGCAGGCCAUUAGGUUUGCGCUGCAAAUGUUACUACCCUCUGAGCCAUCUGGUUCAACCCCUUCCUUUUAUGAUUGCUGAUAUUAAACAUCUUUUCAUAUUUUGGUUAUCAUAUAUCUUAUUUGGAGAAAUGUCUACUUGGAUCUUUUAUCUAUCUGUCUGUCUAUCUAUCUAUCUGUCAGUUUUUCAGUAUAUGGUUUCUGUGUAGCCCUGGCUGCCCUGGAGCUUGCUCUGUAGACCAGGCUGGCCUGGAACACAGAUUCACCUGCCUCUGCUUCUCAAGUACUGAGAUUAAAGAUUUGUACUGCCAGCAGGAUGAGGUGACACACGCCUGUGAUCCCAGCACUCUGGGAGACAAAAGCAGGCAGAUCUCUGUGAGUUCGAGGCCUGCUCUAUAAAGUGAGUCCAGAACAGCCAAGGCUACACAGAGAAGCCCUGACUCGAAAAGAAAAAAAAAAAAAAAAAAAGAUGGAGAUAGGGAGGAUGGUUGCCACCACCACUUGGCAUCAUCAUCAUCAUUAUUAUUAUUACCGACAAGCUCUCCCUUUGUAACCAGGACUGGCCUCACAAUCACUGUCGUUCCUGCCUCUGCCUCCUAAGUGCUAGGAUAGUGGCUGUGAGCCGUGGUACCUGAUUAUUUACCCUUUCUUAAAAUAGGGAUAUUUGGGUUUAUUUGCUUUUACAGGAGUUACUUGUGUAUUUUGGUUGUUUAUCCCCUAUCAAAUAUAUAGUUUGAAAAUAUUUCCUCCUAUUCUGUGACUUGUUUUUCUUUUGUUUCUUUUUUUCUAUUCUCUAUAUUCAAUUCUCUAUAUUGAAUGCCUGGAACUAGCGCUAUAGAUGUGAAUUCACAAGAUACACCUGCCUCUUGUCUCCUAAGGGCUGGGAUUAAAGGUGUGCACCACAACCACCCA